rnacentral:rRNA from 1 species
AGAGUUUGAUCAUGGCUCAGGACGAACGCUGGCGGCGUGCCUAAUGAAUGCGAGUCGAACGGACUACGGUAAUCGUAACUGCUUUCGGGCAGUUACACUCUCCGUAGUUAGUGGCAAACGGGUGAGUAACACGUGGGUAACGUGCCUUCAGGACGAGGAUAACGGGGCGAAAGCCCUGCUAAUACUCGAUGGACUGCCCCCGCUAUGGCGGGGACCAGUAAAUGCUCCGGCGCCUGGAGAUCGGCCCGCGGCCCAUUAGCUUGUUGGUGAGGUAACGGCUCACCAAGGCGACAAUGGGUAGCUGGUCUGAGAGGACGAUCAGCCACACUGGGACUGAGACAUGGUCCAGACUCCUACGGGAGUUAGCAUCCGGGAAUCUUGCACAAUGGGCGCAAGCCUGAUGCAGCGACGCCGCGUGGGUGAUGAAGGUCUGCGGAUCGUAAAGCCCUGUCAGGAGGGAAGACACCCGACUGUACCUCCAAAGGAAGCCCCGGCUAACUACGUGCCAGCAGCCGCGGUAAAACGUAGGGGGCUAGCGUUGUCCGGAAUUACUGGGCGUAAAGCGCACGCAGGCGGUCUGGAAAGCGGUGGGUGCAAUCUCGAGGCUCAACCUCGAAACUGCUCGCCGAACUACCAGACUUGAGCACGGGAGAGGACAGUGGAAUUCCCGGUGUAGCGGUGGAAUGCGUAAAUAUCGGGAGGAACACCAGUGGCGAAGGCUGCUGUCUGGAACGUUGCUGACGCUGAGGUGCGAAAGCCAGGGGAGCGAACGGGAUUAGAUACCCCGGUAGUCCUGGCCGUAAACGAUGCUCACUAGGUGUUGCCGGCAUUAACCCCGG